rnacentral:rRNA from 1 species
UACAGAGGUCUCAAGCGUUUGUUCGGAUUCAUUGGGCGUAAAGGGUGCGUAGGUGGCAUGGUAAGUCGGAUGUGAAAUCCCGGGGCUCAACCCCGGAACUGCAUUCGAUACUGCUGCGCUAGAGUACUGGAGAGGAGAUUGGAAUUACGGUGUAGCAGUGAAAUGCGUAGAUAUCGUAAGGAAGACCAGUGGCGAAGGCGGAUCUCUGGACAGUUACUGACACUGAGGCACGAAGGCCAGGGGAGCAAACGGG